AUUGAACGCUGGCGGCAGGCCUAACACAUGCGAGUCGAGCGGAUGAAGGGAGCUUGCUCCUGGAUUCAGCGGAGGACGGGUGAGUAAUGCCUAGGAAUCUGCCUGGUAGUGGGGGAUAACGUCCGGAAACGGGCGCUAAUACCGCAUACGUCCUGAGGGAGAAAGUGGGGGAUCUUCGGACCUCACGCUAUCAGAUGAGCCUAGGUCGGAUUAGCUAGUUGGUGGGGUAAAGGCCUACCAAGGCGACGAUCCGUAACUGGUCUGAGAGGAUGAUCAGUCACACUGGAACUGAGACACGGUCCAGACUCCGACGGGAGGCAGCAGUUGGGAAUAUUGGACACUGGGCGAAAGCCUGAUCCAGCCAUGCCGCGUGUGUGAAGAAGGUCUUCGGAUUGUAAAGCACUUUAAGUUGGGAGGAAGGGCAGUAAGUUAAUACCUUGCUGUUUUGACGUUACCAACAGAAUAAGCACCGGCUAACUUCGU
rnacentral:rRNA from 1 species